rnacentral:rRNA from 1 species
GUGUCAGCCGCCGCGGUAAUACGGAGGGUGCAAGCAUUGAUCGGAAUUACUGGGCGUAAAGGGCGCGUAGGCGGUUAGGAAAGUCAGAUGUGAAAUUCCGGGGCUCAACUCCGGAGCUGCAUUUGAAACUUCCAGACUAGAGUACAGUUAGGGAAAACGGAAUUCCACGUGUAGCGGUGAAAUGCGUAGAUAUGUGGAAGAACACCGGUGGUGAAGACGGUUUUCUGGGCUGAAACUGACGCUGAGGCGCGAAAGCAAGGGGAGCAAACAGGAUUAGAUACCCUGGUAGUCCUUGCCUUAAACGAUGCAUACUAGACGUAGGGGGGCUCAACCCUUUCUGUGUCGGAGCUAACGCAUUAAGUAUGCCGCCUGGGGAGUACGCUCGCAAGGGUGAA